AACUUUAUAGAGGAGGGAACGACGACAUAAACGAAAGAGCGAAACUUGCGCAACUGUCGCGCCGCUUUGGGUUGCCCGAAGGCUGGAAAAUAUCGAUAGCUACUUCGAUCGAGACUCUGGAGUGUUCGGACGUUUUUACUGGGAAUACCGAUAACCUAUCCUCGUCGACGCUGAGCGUAUUUGAACUGAUAGGAAGAAGUGUCGCGUUCAUACACUAGAUUGAUCGUAUGUGAUUGUUCUCGUGGAUGAGUUUGUACUGUUUGAAUUAACACUGCUAGUGGAGCAAACCGUAUGCUCAGCUUCAUUUCAAAGGUAAUGGAACCGCACACUGCGCUUAUCAUGCUGCAGAGAAGAAGCUAUUCAACCGUCCUCUGGCAAUUUCUUUUAUCUCCGUUUGUAGGAGAGUUAUAGCCCGUCCCAGUUUCGAGACACACACCGUAUACAAAAACAUUUAAUCCCAAAAGGAUGCCGUAGAAACAAAGGGUUUUGAAAUCCUUAAAUAAUGGGUUUCGCUUUGGGACAAAGGAAAAAUGGAACUCCCUGAUCCACUUUAAUGACACUGGUCGAGAUUUUUAUGCGGAACUAAACUGAAUCAAUAAAAACGAACUCUGACUUUUGAAGUUUCUCUUUGAUAAGAUACUGGGUUAAACACCUUGGAAGAGGAUUUUCAAAUUUCAAGACCCUAAUCCAUUUCCUCGAACUACGUAAGCAGACAACCACCGAUACAGUUAAUAAGUCUCCGUCGUUAAUUACUGUACCUGAAAAUCCUAUAAACAGGCUCCUAUUAUAUAAAGUAUUAAUUCAGAAAAGAAAUUCACCCCGUUCCACGCAUUUUAUCCAAGUUACAACCUCCUACAUCACGAUGGAAAGAAUCGACAGACGUUUUUUUUCCUUUUUGCUCGAAUACGACAGAAGGCGGAGA